rnacentral:tRNA from 1 species
GCGUUGGUGGUUCAGUGGUAGAAUUCUUGCCUUCCAUGCAGGAGACCUAGUUUUGAUUUCUAACCAAAGUA